UCCAACUUUGAAAUGAAAAUUUUUAAACUUGCUCCCCUAAAUUCCAUUUUUCUUUUUUUCUUUUUUAAAAAAGGGAUUAAUGUUCACUUGGCUUUGAACCUAGCCAGAGAUUUCUGUAUGCUUGUGAGGAGGGAGAAAGUUAUUCCAAACUAGAGUAAUUUCAUUCCAAUCCACCUGUCUGAGGUCUGCGUCUUGAAACGCUGCAAUGGCGCCUGUGAAAACUAAAGGAGCUGUUGUAUCUUUGAUCUCAGUGUCCAUGGUAGUGCUCUCAUGCAUGCUCUGCAAAUACACAUCCAAAGAAAAAAACAAUUCAUUUUUGACUCAUCGAUGCUGUGGGUACCUUGAGCUAUUGGCCGUGAAGUAUCUUGUAAAUAAGGUCUUUUUCUGGGGAGCUCUUCGCCCAUGAAUUGCUUGGGGACUGUCAUGCACAAUCAUUGGCUUUGAUCACAUCAUUGUAACCAUUUUAUGCAGUAUGGGGACGAGGCAUCUUAGGAAAUUCUAUAGUCCAAAGCAUCUAUCAAAGAGCGGUCCGAAACCAAUUGCAUUUGGUUUGGAGUUUCUUGGUAUAAUGAAGAUUUGGCUGGCCAAGAUCUUAAUCUUUGUCCACGGUAAAGGUAAUGCAAGAUGCUCAUUGCAAAGGUUUCAAGGCUGUAGUGUAACUGUGAAUGUUUGAUUUGGAAAUUCUGGAGAUGCAAUACCGAGCAGUGAUGUUACACAGAUUGAUGACUAUUCUUUAUAAGGAUUAGAACAUUAUUUUGUUACAGAAUAGUGCAUACAAGGAUUACUUUUGGUUGAGUUGUGUUUGACGCAAUGUUGAUGAGGAAAUCUUUGUGCUUUACUUUUUCUCUAUGUAUAGAUCAUUU